UCGAGUUCUGGGUUCCGCCCGUCGGGCCCGUCCUCCAACCCUUUGCUUACCGACCUCUGUUGCUUCGGCGUGGCCGCGCGGGGCCUUAGCUCCGCGCCUAGUGCGCCCGCCGGAGGCCAGUCAAACUCUUGUUUUAACGUCGAGUCUGAGUUAUUUAUUCAAUAAAUCA
rnacentral:misc_RNA from 1 species